UACGGAGGGGGCUAGCGUUGCUCGGAUUUACUGGGCGUAAAGGGCGCGUAGGCGGACGACCAAGUUGGGGGUGAAAGCCCGGGGCUCAACCUCGGAAUUGCCUUCAAAACUGGUCGUCUUGAGUAUGAGAGAGGUGUGUGGAACUCCGAGUGUAGAGGUGAAAUUCGUAGAUAUUCGGAAGAACACCAGUGGCGAAGGCGACACACUGGCUCAUUACUGACGCUGAGGCGCGAAAGCGUGGGGAGCAAACAGG
rnacentral:rRNA from 1 species